AUUGAACGCUGGCGGCAUGCCUUACACAUGCAAGUCGAACGGUAACGGGCCUUCGGGUGCCGACGAGCGGCGAACGGGUGAGUAAUACAUCGGAACGUGCCCGAUCGUGGGGGAUAACGAGGCGAAAGCUUUGCUAAUACCGCAUACGAUCUACGGAUGAAAGCAGGGGACCGCAAGGCCUUGCGCGGACGGAGCGGCCGAUGGCAGAUUAGGUAGUUGGUGGGAUAAAAGCUUACCAAGCCGACGAUCUGUAGCUGGUCUGAGAGGAUGAUCAGCCACACUGGGACUGAGACACGGCCCAGACUCCUACGGGAGGCAGCAGUGGGGAAUUUUGGACAAUGGGCGCAAGCCUGAUCCAGCCAUGCCGCGUGCAGGAUGAAGGCCUUCGGGUUGUAAACUGCUUUUGUACGGAACGAAAAGCCUUCUUUUAAUACAGGAGGGUCAUGACGGUACCGUAAGAAUAAGCACCGGCUAACUACGUG
rnacentral:rRNA from 1 species